UUGAUAUGUAUAAAUCGAUUAGUUGACAAGAUACGCAAGGUGAAGAAAACACAUAACCUUUAGCGAGAUGCGCAAUUGCAUAGAAACGUCAAAGAGCGAGAUAAAAAUACAUAUGCAUAAAAUUGCAUUUCCUCUCGCAAACGCAGAACUUGUGAACUCGGCACCUCUGCGAAUACACUAUGAUGGAAGAUGUACGCGACGUAUUUGUCGACGGAUACAGCAGGCCUUCCAUCGUCCCCCCUGACCUCCCUCUCGUCUCCUGAACGUGCCGCCAUCAUAAGGGUAUAUCCUUCUGCCUUGCCGGAAGUGAGGAUCUCUUCAAGAGGGAGUCAGCGACCAUGCUGGGCCAGAUAGCGACGAAAUAAAGGACCGGAGAACCACCCCGAUACUUUUCCAUGGAGUGCUUUCGUCAUGUCUGGCUUCUGAAGCUUCCACGUCCGGCAGUUCCGUGUACAUAUACGUGCCCCAGGUGGUUGUCUCAAAUAACGCCACCUAAAGCGAGUAACUCGAUACCGAGGAUCCUGCGGAUGUUUGAACAUGGAUUGUGUUACACGUGCCCAUGCGUUUUUAGAUUAUCUUGCGUCCUUGCGAGUAACGAAACUAGUUCCCGAUUUUCUAGUAAAAUAUUUAAUACCCAUAUAGAAAACACAGGAUUCAGAAGUAAGGAUGAAGCGCAAGUCGAUAAUUUGCACGGUCCAUUUGAGGGCAUGACUUAAAAUGGAUUUAUCUUAUUUUUAUGUCGAAUCAUUCAGUUAUUUUCGCACGAACGAUCCAAUAUUAGGUCAAUUUACUUCUGUGAUUCUGCUGUAUUUAAG